AGAGUUUGAUCCUGGCUCAGGACGAACGCUGGCGGCGUGCCUAACACAUGCAAGUCGAACGGAACUGUUUUGAAAGAUUUCUUCGGAAUGAAUUUGAUUUAGUUUAGUGGCGGACGGGUGAGUAACGCGUGAGUAACCUGCCUUCAAGAGGGGGAUAACAUUCUGAAAAGAAUGCUAAUACCGCAUGACAUAUCGGAAUCACAUGAUUUUGAUAUCAAAGAUUUUAUCGCUUGAAGAUGGACUCGCGUCCGAUUAGUUAGUUGGUGAGGUAACGGCUCACCAAGACCGCGAUCGGUAGCCGGACUGAGAGGUUGAACGGCCACAUUGGGACUGAGACACGGCCCAGACUCCUACGGGAGGCAGCAGUGGGGGAUAUUGCGCAAUGGGGGCAACCCUGACGCAGCAACGCCGCGUGAAGGAUGAAGGUUUUCGGAUUGUAAACUUCUUUUAUUAAGGACGAAACUUGACGGUACUUAAUGAAUAAGCUCCGGCUAACUACGUGCCAGCAGCCGCGGUAAUACGUAGGGAGCAAGCGUUGUCCGGAUUUACUGGGUGUAAAGGGUGCGUAGGCGGCUUUGCAAGUCAGAUGUGAAAUCUAUGGGCUCAACCCAUAAACUGCAUUUGAAACUGUAGAGCUUGAGUGAAGUAGAGGCAGGCGGAAUUCCCCGUGUAGCGGUGAAAUGCGUAGAGAUGGGGAGGAACACCAGUGGCGAAGGCGGCCUGCUGGGCUUUAACUGACGCUGAGGCACGAAAGCGUGGGUAGCAAACAGGAUUAGAUACCCUGGUAGUCCACGCUGUAAACGAUGAUUACUAGGUGUGGGGGGUCUGACCCCUUCCGUGCCGGAGUUAACACAAUAAGUAAUCCACCUGGGGAGUACGG
rnacentral:rRNA from 1 species